rnacentral:rRNA from 1 species
GCUCAGUAACACGUGGAUAACCUACCCUUAGGACUGGGAUAACCCUGGGAAACUGGGGAUAAUACUAGAUAGGCAAUUUUUCCUGGAAUGGUUUUUUGUUUAAAUGUUUUUUCGCCUAAGGAUGGGUCUGCGGCCGAUUAGGUAGUUGGUUAGGUAACGGCUUACCAAGCCAUUGAUCGGUACGGGUUGUGAGAGCAAGAGCCCGGAGAUGGAACCUGAGACAAGGUUCCAGGCCCUACGGGGUGCAGCAGGCGCGAAACCUCCGCAAUGUGAGAAAUCGCGACGGGGGGAUCCCAAGUGCCAUUCUUAACGGGAUGGCUUUUCAUUAGUGUAAAGAGCUUUUGGAAUAAGGGCUGGGCAAGACCGGUGCCAGCCGCCGCGGUAACACCGGCAGCUCUAGUGGUAGCAGUUUUUAUUGGGCCUAAAGCGUCCGUAACCGGUUUAAUAAGUCUCUGGUGAAAUCCUGUAGCUUAACUGUGGGAAUUGCUGGAGAUACUAUUAGACUUGAGACCGGGAGAGGUUAGAGGUACUCCCAGGGUAGAGGUGAAAUUCUGUAAUCCUGGGAGGACCGCCUGUUGCGAAGGCGUCUAACUGGAACGGUUCUGACGGUGAGGGACGAAAGUUAGGGGCGCGAACCGGAUUAGAUACCCGGGUAGUCCUAACUGUAAACGAUGCGGACUUGGUGUUGGGGUGGCUUUGAGCUGUUCCAGUGCCGAAGGGAAGCUGUUAAGUCCGCCGCCUGGGAAGUACGGUCGCAAGACUGGAACUUAAAGGAAUUGGCGGGGGAGCACCACAACGCGUGGAGCCUGCGGUUUAAUUGGAUUCAACGCCGGACAUCUCACCAGAGGCGACAGCUGUAUGAUAGCCAGGUUGAUGACUUUGCUUGACUAGCUGAGAGGAGGUGCAUGGCCGCCGUCAGCUCGUACCGUGAGGCGUCCUGUUAAGUCAGGCAACGAGCGAGACCCACGCCCUUAGUUACCAGCUUAUCCUUUUUUGGAUGAUGGGCACACUAAGGGGACCGCCUAUGAUAAAUAGGAGGAAGGAGUGGACGACGGUAGGUCCGUAUGCCCCGAAUCCUCUGGGCAACACGCGGGCUACAAUGGCUGAGACAAUGGGUUCCGACACCGAAAGGUGGAGGUAAUCCUCUAAACUUAGUCGUAGUUCGGAUUGAGGACUGUAACUCGUUCUCAUGAAGCUGGAAUGCGUAGUAAUCGCGUAUCACUAUUGCGCGGUGAAUACGUCCCUGCUCCUUGCACACACCG